CAGCAGCCGCGGUAAAACGGAUGGUGCAAGCGUUAUCCGGAUUUAUUGGGUUUAAAGGGUCCGUAGGCGGAUCUGUAAGUCAGUGGUGAAAUCUCACAGCUUAACUGUGAAACUGCCAUUGAUACUGCAGGUCUUGAGUAAAUUUGAAGUGGCUGGAAUAAGUAGUGUAGCGGUGAAAUGCAUAGAUAUUACUUAGAACACCAAUUGCGAAGGCAGGUCACUAAGAUUUAACUGACGCUGAUGGACGAAAGCGUGGGGAGCGAACAGGAUUAGAUACCCGCGUAGUCCCUGUCUCUUAUAC
rnacentral:rRNA from 1 species